rnacentral:rRNA from 1 species
GACGAACGCUGGCGGCGUGCUUAACACAUGCAAGUCGAACGGAAAGGCCCUGCUUUUGUGGGGUGCUCGAGUGGCGAACGGGUGAGUAACACGUGAGUAACCUGCCCUUGACUUUGGGAUAACUUCAGGAAACUGGGGCUAAUACCGGAUAGGAGCUCCUGCUGCAUGGUGGGGGUUGGAAAGUUUCGGCGGUUGGGGAUGGACUCGCGGCUUAUCAGCUUGUUGGUGGGGUAGUGGCUUGCCAAGGCUGUGACGGGUAGCCGGCCUGAGAGGGUGGACGGGCACAUGGGGACUGAGGUACGGCCCAGACGCCGACGGGAGGCAGCAGGGGGGAAUAUUGUCCAAUGGGCGGAAGUCUGAGGCAGCAACGCCGCGUGCGGGAUGACGGCCUUCGGGUUGUAAACCGCUUUCGCCUGUGACGAAGCGGGAGUGACGGUAAUGAGUAAAGAAGCACCGGCUAACUACGUG